rnacentral:rRNA from 1 species
CGGACGGGUGAGUAACGCGUGGGUAACCUGCCCCAUACAGGGGGAUAACAGCCGGAAACGGCUGCUAAUACCGCAUGCACAUGCGGAGGCGCAUGCCUCUGUAUGGAAAGCUUUGGCGGUAUGGGAUGGGCCCGCGUCUGAUUAGGCAGUUGGCGGGGUAACGGCCCACCAAACCGACGAUCAGUAGCCGGCCUGAGAGGGCGACCGGCCACAUUGGGACUGAGACACGGCCCAAACUCCUACGGAAGGCAGCAG